rnacentral:rRNA from 1 species
GACGAACCGUGCGAACGUUAUUCGGAAUCACUGGGCUUAAAGCGCGUGUAGGUGGGCGACCACGUCGGUUGCUGAAAUCCCUCGGCUCAACCGAGGAACGGGCAGCGAUACGAGUCGCCUGGAGGGGGGUAGGGGGAGCUGGAACUUCCGGUGGAGCGGUGAAAUGCGUUGAGAUCGGAAGGAACGCCCGUGGCGAAAGCGAGCUCCUGGACCUUUUCUGACACUGAGACGCGAAAGCUAGGGGAGCGAACGGG